rnacentral:rRNA from 1 species
ACGGCAGCACAGCAGAGCUUGCUCUGUGGGUGGCGAGUGGCGGACGGGUGAGUAAUGCAUCGGAACGUGUCCUGGAGUGGGGGAUAGCCCGGCGAAAGCCGGAUUAAUACCGCAUACGCUCGAGAGAGGAAAGCGGGGGAUCUUCGGACCUCGCGCUCAAGGGGCGGCCGAUGGCGGAUUAGCUAGUUGGUAGGGUAAAGGCCUACCAAGGCGACGAUCCGUAGCUGGUCUGAGAGAACGACCAGCCACACUGGGACUGAGACGCGGCCCAGACUCCUACGGGAGGCAGCAGUGGGGAAUUUUGGACAAUGGGGGCAACCCUGAUCCAGCAAUGCCGCGUGUGUGAAGAAGGCCUUCGGGUUGUAAAGCACUUUUGUCCGGAAAGAAAUCCUCUGGGUUAAUACCUCGGGGGGAUGACGGUACCGGAAGAAUAAGCACCGGCUAACUACGUGCCAGCAGCCGCGGUAAUACGUAGGGUGCGAGCGUUAAUCGGAAUUACUGGGCGUAAAGCGUGCGCAGGCGGUUUGCUAAGACCGAUGUGAAAUCCCCGGGCUUAACCUGGGAACUGCAUUGGUGACUGGCGGGCUAGAGUGUGGCAGAGGGGGGUAGAAUUCCACGUGUAGCAGUGAAAUGCGUAGAGAUGUGGAGGAAUACCGAUGGCGAAGGCAGCCCCCUGGGCCAACACUGACGCUCAUGCACGAAAGCGUGGGGAGCAAACAGGAUUAGAUACCCUGGUAGUCCACGCCCUANACGAUGUCAACUAGUUGUUGGGGAUUNAUUUCCUUAGUAACGUAGCUAACGCGUGAAGUUGACCG